AACGCACGAGACCUGCGGACCUGCGGAGGGAUCAUUACUGAGUGAGGGCCCUCUGGGUCCAACCUCCCACCCGUGUUUAACGAACCUUGUUGCUUCGGCGGGCCCGCCUCACGGCCGCCGGGGGGCAUCCGCCCCCGGGCCCGCGCCCGCCGAAGACACCUGUGAACUCUGUCUGAAGUUGCAGUCUGAGAAACUAUUUAAAUUAGUUAAAACUUUCAACAACGGAUCUCUAGAUCGGAA
rnacentral:misc_RNA from 1 species